GUGGCCACUGCGCGAGAUCCUCAGGCUCCGGCGAGCAAAAGCUGCAUAUCCCGCGAACAACGCGGCGACGGCGAUCAGAAAUGAGGCGCUUUCACAAUCUCCCUCGUUCGGUUCGAGGCGGAAGAGUCCCGGGGAAGACAGCAGAUCAUGAUUCCGCGAACGGAGACGACGGGGAAGGGCAGGACAUCGCAUUCAUAUCACACACCAUAGCGUAGAAAGUCAUACAAGGCUCUUUCCAUCUGGAGGAUGAGCGAUUUGAUUUUGACAGAAACAGACAGUGUGACAGCAGUAAUGAUGAGCAAGCUGAAGGAUGUGCUGACAUGGACAACAAAUGAAUUGGAUGCUGUUCUCUUGCAUGGUGAUGAGCUGUAUACAUUAAUGUGAUUACAGGGCAAGAUAGGUGACCCAACGCAGCGUGGUUAUGUAGCGAUUGCUGAAUUGCUAACAAUGCACACAUUCUGUAAUAACAAGUUUUCAAUUAAGUGUCGUUAUUCAUACACUGGAUGUAUUGGUGUUGAGGUUUAUGAUGAAGCAGUGCGAGAUGUAUCCAUGUCUAUACAAGAAGCACUUCGGAGGGCUUUGCUUCAGUUUGAUGCAUGUUUGUUUGUUGAGCAUUGAAGACUACAUUUGUGCAGUUAUAAUGGAGGGGCCAAAAUUUGCUGUAAACGAUUCUCAUUCACCUAAUGACAAAGGUAUGGCUGAAUAUGCUAAAGGCACAAGCAUAGUAACAUACUGUAAUGACAUACAUGUUUACUUAUGUUAAGCUUGCUUUGUCACUGAAUGCUCAAGGAAUACCAUUUGAAGUGACUGAUGUGAGAGCAAGAGCAAUUGGUAAGGUCACAACUAUUGAGACAGCUUAUAAGUCUUGUCACCAAGGCAGUGUUGCACAUGUUUGACCUAAGAGGACAGGUGAGCGGAGUAAGUGUUCUAUUGGUGACAGUAGUAAACAGGUGUGUGUGUGUGUAUGUAAAACAAUGACUACAAAUCAAAUGAGAAAUGUCUGGUUUCAAGUAAAAGGAGAGAGGAGCAAAACAAGUCAAAACUAGACAGGUGAGUAAGUUACCUGAUCAUUUCUAAUGGAUGACAUCAUUAUUGGAGAUACCAUAAUGAGUUUUAAACCUUUAACACUGCAGAUCAGGAUGUGUUGUGUGUCUACGUUUACAACUGAUUAAUGAAAACAGUGGUGUUGAAAGCAAUUUGUGUUCUUUAGGAGAGCGCUGUAAAACAAAGUGCAUCAACGCUGAUGGGAGUUGCUUUUUAUAGAUCAAUUGCACAUGCAGUAUGUGGCAAUGAAGAGAAAAACCUGAAUAGUAGAUGUUCAGUUGUGAAACACCUUGAAGCUAACAGUUCUAAAUUUGUGAAAUACUUAAGAGAACAGUACAGAUCGGUGAAAGAUUAUUUGACACAGAAUGUAUUAUUGUACUUCAUGUGCAACUGAAGUAGACCUUUUUGCUGCAGCAGACCUUUUCCAAAUAAAUGUGAUGACCUUUAAUGAUGACAGAUGAAAUUCACGUAUCCCAAGUGGAUAGUUAUUGACAGAUAAUGCAAUCUAUUUGAAGCACUGUAAUGGAAAUCACGAUGACAUUGUUACAUGUGUUAAACAUCAUAAUCAAGAAAACAUGCAGGAGCAUGUAAAAAUGAGUGGUUGAUGGCACCAUAAAGCAAUGUCUGCGAAAAAGAAAGUUAAAUGAUACAGCAGAAGAGAGAUAUAAAUAAUGUAAAUAUACAUUGUAUAUUUUGUAACCUUAUUUUUGACAGGUCAAAAAGAGACAUAUUUUUACUAUCUAUGUACAGGUCAAAGGUCAUAAUCAUCAUCAUUAAAUAUAAUGAUGAUGAUAGGUCAAAGGGUCAUCAUAAUAAAUUAUAAUUAUGUUAAAUUCGUUUCUGAUGUAUUCCAGACACACACACACACACACACACAAGUUGUUUCCUUUCCCAUAGAUUGUGAAACAUUCAUGAGUCAGGCCUAGGUCAAAAAGGUCAAUGAUAAUUAUUGCAGCAUGUUCUUUACCUAUAUUUCCUGUAAAAUCCGGUUCCGGUGCAUUCCACACACACACACACACACACACACACACGCACACACACACGCACACACACAUACAUAAGGAUAAUAAAAUAAUAAAUAAUGAAUUUCCAUACACAUCCAACCCAAAAUAAGACACACACACACAUCCAACCAAAAAUAUGACUCGCGCACACACACAGACACACAUCCAACCAAAAACAUGACACGCACACACAUCCAACCAAAAAUAUGAC
ensembl:lncRNA